GAUGAACGCUGGCGGCGUGCCUAACACAUGCAAGUCGAACGGAGUCCAGCCUUUAAGACCUUCGGGUCAAAGAGGGGAAGACUGAGUGGCGGACGGGUGAGUAACACGUGGGCAACCUGGCUCAUAGAGGGGGAUAACAGAGAGAAAUUUCUGCUAAUACCGCAUAAGCACACACUGCCGCAUGGCAGAGGGUGAAAAGAGAAUCGCUAUGAGCGGGACCCGCGUCUGAUUAGCCAGUUGGCAGGGUAAGAGGCUACCAAAGCGACGAUCAGUAGCCGGUCAGAGAGGAUGAGCGGACACAUUGGGACUGAGACGCGGCCCAGACUCCUACGCGAUGCAGGAGUGGGUGAUAUUGCAAAAUGGGGGGAACCCUGAUGCAGCGACGCCGCGUGAGUGAAGAAGUAUUGCGGUAUGUAAAGCGCUAUCAGCAGUGAAGAUAAUGACAGUACCUGAAUAAGAAGCCCCGGCUAACUACGUG
rnacentral:rRNA from 1 species